rnacentral:lncRNA from 1 species
UAUGGUACUACAUUAUUUUUGUUACUUUUUCACCAUGAUAAAACUUGUCCAACAUGGAUGGAAUUUAUUUAACAAGCCGAAAUAAAACCUAGCAACAACCCUUUGCUCUCACGUACAUAUCAAGUUCAGACUUGGCUCUUUUUAGGUUGUGGUGUGUCAGCGAACUUCCAUGUAAGUUGAUACUGCGGAGAUCUUACUCCAGCCACUUCAUUGAUGGGAACAGCAUCGGAGAUCUCCUUUAAAUCUUCUUUUGUCAGCUUAACUUGCAAUGAUCCAACAUUUUCGUACAGAUUUUUAAUCUUAGUGGUUCCUAGAGAAUAUUUGAAGAAAAGAUUAGCAAUCUACAAUUUGUGGGAUUUGAUACCUUAAUCAAAAUUUUGUAGCUUGAAUCAGAGAACUAAACAUAAACAAACAAAAGCUGACUCACCAGGGAUAGGCACCACAUCAUCCCCUUGAUUGAUAACCCAAGCAAGGGCAAGCUGAGCAGGAGUACAGCCAUGCUUUGCAGCCAGUUUUUCUAUUCGAGAAUAAAACACCUUGUUCUUCUCGAUAUUUUCUUCUGUGAACCUUGGAUGUAAUUUCUAAAACAACGCAAGAAGGCCACAUGUUACCAGCCAUGUUACGUCAAAUAAGCAACAAGACAGAAAUAUUAGCACAAAAUUAAAUUGGGUUAAUGAUGUUCAAGUUUCAGUAGUUUUCUUUAAGCACAAAAGGAAGUAUUAAAAGAUUGAAUUGCAGUAACUUGAUACGGUUUUCUUUUUAUCUCAUUAUGCGAGGGUGUGUGUGGAGCUUCAUACCAGUACAGUCUCCGAAGGCAAACUUUCCAUGACUGCUCUGCCACCAAAAAAACCACGACCGAUAGGGCUAUAUGGAACUACUGCAAUUCCAAGUUCCCUGCACAAGUUAAACAACUAAAAGGUUAAAAAGGCAACAAAUGUAAAAACAAAAAGAUUUAAAUUUUACAAAUGAAUCGAAGAAAAAGAUUAAUAACUUAAUUCGUGAAGACCUUGAUAAGAAGUUUUAAAUUACAGAAAGUGUCCAUUAUAAAUGAUCAACUUGAAAUGAAAAUCCCAUUGAUAUGGAUACCUGCAAAGUGGGAUUAUUUCUUCUUCAAUGUCACGAGACCAAAGUGACCAUUCCAUUUGUACUGCACUAAUGGGAUGGACUGCAUGUGCCCUCUUUAUUGUGUCGGGACUUGCUUCGGAUAAUCCAAUAUACUUAACUUUUCCCUCUUCCACUAACUUCUUAAGCUCUCCCAUCUGCCAACUCAAAGUAAUUGGAUUAGAAAUUAAAUAGUGCACGCAGUUAGUUUGAACUAUUCCGUGGUGAAAGAAAGGAAAAGAACAUACAGUUUCCUCUAUUGGAACGGAAGUGUCGGUACGGUGCUGAUAGUAGAGAUCAAUGUACUCCAGAUCUAGACGCUUCAGGCUAGCAUCGCAACAUGCACGGAUGUAUUCAGGACUGCCAUUGAUUGCACAAUUUUUAAAAUCAGAACCGUUUGGAACAAUGCCAAAUUUUGUAGCCAACUGGAUCUUUUCUCUAGGCAAAUGCUUCAAUGCCUGCAAAAUGCAAGUCUUGGCGAUAAAUAAACAAAGAAAAAUACCACCUGAUGCUAUAUCAGAAAUUCCUCUCAUCCCAAAAGCUCUUUUAGGGGAGGAGAGACACAUGCCAUUUGAAACAAAGGCUCAUUGGCCAACUGUUCAUUAAAUAUAUUAGGCAUGAUCUUCAUAUGUUAAUUGCUUGCUUCAGCGACAUAUUUUUUGUUUUGGGAGUCCAUUGUUGGACAUGCUAGCUUCUCAUUUACAAACACUGUUUCAAUUCUUCAAAUGGUGAUGACCAUAUACCCUUUUAAUCUUUAAGCUUUUCAAGCCAUGACCACUCCUUUGCAGGGAAUUACUUAACCGGUGAUUUGAUGAGUGGGGAAAACCUUUUAUUGCAAGAAGAUAAAAGCACUUCAGUACCCCUGAGUUUGAGAAACUCGAGCAUGUCCAUGAAUUGAUGAAAUGAUAGUGACACAUAGCCCUACAAAUGCAAUAUAUGUACGGCCUUCAACAACUAGAACAUUUAUGAGAAAUAAUAGCAAGAAAAGAAAGUCAUAUCCAUCUCAAGAAUUGCAUCAGUUCCAUGCCAAUAUGACAUCUAAAUAGAAAAACAGAAAGGGACUAGCUUCAUCAAGAGAGUCCAUAUAUUUUCAAUUCUGAUGCUGAGGCAAAUAUAAGGAAAGAAAUAAGGUAUUGAAGAUGGAACUCUGCAGGCAAGAAUUUCACUAUCAUCAAAACUAUAUACCAGCCAACUAGUUUGUGAUUGCGGCUUGGUUGUUAUUAUUAUUAUAAAAAACUAGAUACCAUAUUAUACUGGCCAAUUCUUUUACAUGAAAGCAUAUUAUGAAAGAACCUUAGAAAAAACAUUUCGAAACUUACCUUCCCAACCACGAUUUCAUUAGUGUGAGGUCCAUAAACAUCUGCUGUAUCAAAAAAAGUAAUCCCCUUGCUAUAAGCUUCCUUGAUGAUUGAAAUGACAACCUCUUCAGGGAGGGGGGCAUUGUACAUUCCAGAAAGCCCCAUGCAUCCAAAGCCCAACUUUGAGACCUAAAAGUCGAAAAAUAUCACGCAGAAAAAUCAAGAGACAAUAACACCUUUCCUUUGUUAGCACAUACAAUUUUAUCUCCCUAAAAAAGGGUUUCUUUUAUAGUAACCAAUCAUUCUCCCAUUUUUGCAACAUUUCAAUCAAGAAUCUCUGAGGCGUUGAGGCUAUGAAUAUGAUAAGGGUUAUGCCUCGAGUCCUUGAAUCCCAAAUCUGAUCCCUAAUUUUGCCCUAUUUUGUUUUCAUCAAUAUAUCAAAUCCAUAAAUGAUCUGUCGAUAGAAUGGUGGGUUAAGAAGAGUACACAUGCAAAUGUUGCUUUUAAGUUUACCAAUUGAUCAGUGCACUGAUUCAUAAUGAUUUUUGCCCAUAGUCUUAAUCUUCAUUAUUACUCAUUAGCUCCAACUACAACUAUUAAUUAAUCAUAAGGAUUAAAAACAAACAAGUAUUUAAUUAAUCACAAAGGAGAGGAAUAUCAUAUUUCAUACAAGGCCAUGUAAGUCUUAAAAAUUGUACUUUUACAAGACAUCUAUCUAAUAGAGAAACGGAUAUUCAUAGAGAGAAAGAUUGAAAGGUGAAAAGGGGUUUUACCUCUAAUCCUUGGUUACCCAGUUUCACUCUUGGAAUGAUAACUUUCUGCUCCUCGGCCAUCGUUUUCAAUUGUUCUCCUUUUGUGUUGUUGCUAUGGAAGUGAGGCAGUAACGGCAGAGAGAGUAGGGGAGUGAGUGUGUCAAGAGCUCUCGCCAACUCUUUAUGUAAUAGAGCCGUGGCGAGGUAGAUUGCUAGUAGCUGCUGUCAGGUGACUACAAAAGGCAAAUACUGACGCAUGAUCUUAUGUAUGGAUAUCAACUGACGCAUGAUCAUAUGUCACAUUUUGGACAGCAAUCAAUUCUCCUUUUCAUUGUGGACAACAUUUUAUAUUAAGUAAAAAUCGCUACUAUGAAAUUAUCUAUAUAUCCUUAAAAGGAGAAAAAAAUGUAUUAAAAGUGAGGGUGCUUUGAUCUUUUACGCUUGUUAAUUUGUUAUUAGUUAUUAAGAGAUUAUUUGGUGUGCCUAGUUUUUUUUUUCAAAAAAAUAAUAUUGUUUUAUGUCUAUAAUCAACAAAAUAUAUUGAUUUGAGAUUUUUUUAACUUGUUAUAAACUUUUAGAUUGUAAAUAUAUUUUUUUAACCCAAGUUUAAAAAAUUAUUAAGAUGUUGUAUAAGGAUAUUUUUAGUUUUUUCAUUAAUCAUGUACAAUUAAAGUAUGUUUUUGGCCUUGUAAAAGAUAAAAAAUAAGGUUUGUAUUUAAAGGUGUUUUUGUAUUUUCACAUUGGUUUUUAGAGUUAUUAUUAGGGUCAUAAGAGAUGUUUUGGUAUUUUUCACAUUGUCUUUUUAAUUUUUAAAUAAAAAAAUGGUGGUGCGUACUCAGCACACGUCAGUGAAUAGAUGGCGUCUGUGUUAUUCAGGCAGCGCGUGUAACGUCAUAUGGUGACCAAACUUGACCUUCUGCUAUCUCUUUGGAUGUGCCACCGUAUCUUUUUCCAUAUGGUGUGGCGUGUGAUGGUGUAUGGUGGUCAGAUUAUCAUCAAAGAUCGUUUCUUUUUUUCUUUUCUCUCUCUUACCGGUAAAGUGCACAAUUUUUUUUUUUAAUUUCAAUCCUUAUUCUUUAAUUUCUUGUUCCGUUCUUAUUCCUUUUAUAAAAAUUUUGUGUUUUUUCAAACUAGUCUUUCAAUUACAACUUCUUAUAUGUUUUGUUUUUCAUUUCGGUCUUUAUUCUUUUGAUUCUUAAUUUUUUCCCUUGAUUCUUUUGUUAGAGUUUUUUUAGCUUUCAAUUUCAUCAUUCAAUCAGAAUUUUUGUUGCUUUAUUUUUUUCAAUUUGACUCUCGUUCUUUUGAUUUAUUUUUUCUUUUAUUAAAGUAUUUUUCAUUUCAAUUUAACCCUCCAAUUAAAAAUCUUUGUUUGCCCUGAUUAUUAUUUUUUUAUUUUCAUCCUCAUUUUUUAUAUCCUUUUAUAUGAUUGAUUUUUUUCCAUAGUUUCAUCCUUCGAUAUAUGAUUUAUUUAUGAUUCAUCUUCAUGUGAUCUUAUAGUUUUGCAUUAGUUUUUUUUUUAAAUAUUAGUUUUGUGAUUUUAUUUAAUUUCUUUUCUAUGAGUUUAUCUCGGUCUCAUUACCUAGGUCUUGGGUUUUACAUGCCUUUUUAUAAUAUAAAUUUUUUUUAUAAUUGUUUUGUUUAUGUUUGAUUUUUCAAAACGUUAUUCUAAUUCAUCUAUAAUUUUUUUUGUUAUAUACAAAUGAACUUUAUUUUUCAAAAUAAUUUUUUUUUAAAUAAUAUUUCUUAUGCGUUCGACUUUGCAUAAAUAUUUUUUAGGGUAUAGGUUUAUUCAAUCAGUUUUAUUUGUGUUUAUCUUUGAGGUUACAUAUUUUUAUGGUGUGAAUUUAUCUUCUAUUAAUUUACAUAAAUAAGUUCAGUGAACAUAGUGGGACAAACGUCUCAUUUUGUGUGAUUGAAUAUCUUGAUCUACAUUCAUCUCUCAUUUUCUUUUAUUUCUCUUUUGGUUAUUGCUUAUAAUUUUUUUUUAUGUUUCUUUGUAUAGAUGAUUAUCGAUUUAUUUAAUUAGAUAUUUUUAUAAACUUUUUAAUUUAUACUUUGAUCUUUUUUAUGUGAAAAAACACAUCGAAGCACAAAUGAGAAAUUUACUUUUAUGAACAGUAAAAAGUAAAUUCCAUGUCAAAAUUUACAACCUAGAUGACAUGUUUUAGAAAAAAAAUCAAAUUGGCAAAAAGAAAAGGUCCACUUAAAAAUAAUUCAAAACAAGAAUCUAAACAGAACCAAACCCUAAGAAAAUAAUUAACAAUGAAUUCCUUCUAAUUAUUAAACUAGCAAAGACAAAGACUCGAACUUUUUAGCUUUUCUUUCUUUAAAGAUAAAGAAAAAAAAACUGAACUAAAAGUCAAGUAAAGAUUAAAAAAUUCAUCAAUGCUCACAGCACAAUUCUAUGAAAUAUAAUAAAUUAAUAAUACAUAAACAUACACGCCAAGCCUUACAUUGUUUUUUUUUCUUUUUUUAUUAACACAAAACGUAACGUAUACCUCAACUUGGGUAAAAAGAGCCUGUUGGCCAUUUUUUUUUAAGCUGUAGUGUUCUUUUGCGAAACGUUUCUUUUUUUUUUUUUAUUAUCGUGGGUGUUCGGGCCAGUUUGCGCGCACCUCGACUAAUCCCACGGGCCCUGAAGUUAACGACCAUGUAAGCCUCCAGUGGCCAUCAUAUGAGCGUCCACAGGGUUCGAACCUGAGACCUAAGAGAGAGCAAACCCCUUAGUCCCAAGCUCUUACCACUGGGCCACCACCUAGAUGGUUUUUUGCGAAACGUUUCUUGUCAGUGGAGGUGGUGGGUGAGUUGGGAUGGAGCUCAGGGGACCAUUUUGGGUAUACAAAACUCAAAAUGACAUCAUGGUUGGUGGUUUGGUCUCAACUUUGUAGAAAGGAUUGACUGAUAUUUGACUAUGGAAGGACAGAGACAAAAGAAAAACAAUAGCUUUUGCACAAGCCGGGAAUCGAACCCGGGUCUGUACCGUGGCAGGGUACUAUUCUACCACUAGACCACUGGUGCCUUGUUGACAUACUGGCGAAGAACUUAUAAAUUUAUUAUUUAAUACGAUACUUGCUAAAAUUAAAAUUCUAGUAUAGUUUCCUAAAAUGUGUUAGAUUAAUUUAUGAAACCAUUUGUUUUUGUGCAUGAAAAACUUUGUUUAGAUGCAUUUUAAAAAUAUAUUUGAUUUUAAAAAUAUUAAAUUGAUAUUUUUUAAUAUUUUUUUAUGUUUUGACAUGCUAAUGUAAAAAUACAAUAUUAUUUUAAUAUAUUUUCAAAUAAAAAAUAUUUUUAAAAAUUAGUAUGCAUUACAAUAUCAAACAUACACUUAAUUUUAUUGAGUGAAAUUGUAGAAGAUUAGUAAGUGUUUAUUCUUUCAUUAAAUCUAAAUCAAUGAAUUCAAAUUGAAUGAUCAUUAUUUAGUAUAUGAUAUAAAUGAAAACAAUUUAACUAAUUAAUAUUUUGUUUCUUUUAUUUAAUUUAAAUAAUUGAAUUUAAAAUUAAUGAUAAAAAUUAGGAUAUAAAUUUUUAUUUUCUUAGCCAUAUUGUUAGUUACGUUGUGGUAAGUUUGUUGCCAUUUAGAAGUAAACUAACUAUUUGACCCGUAUUUUGCUGUGGGCUGAUUAUUUUUUUUCAAUAAAAAAAUUGAAUAUACAGGCAUUUGCAACACAUUGUUUUUACAUAAAUAGUAUCAAGAAUAUGUUAAAAAACUUAUGUAUGCAUUUAAUUAAAUAAAUCAAGAACCAUCUAUAUUAAUAAAUAAAACAAUUAUUAAUAAUAAAUGAAUAUAUAUUUGGAAAAGUCAAGAGGUGGAUGCAAAUCAAGAUAUUUGAUCUCGUAACACAGUCCAUUCACCUGAUUAUGUUCAAUAACUCUAUUUAUUAAAAUUAAUUAUUUUUAUUUAAUAGAAUAAUAAUAAAAAUAGAUACACAUAUAAAAUUGAUUGAAUAAAAUUAAAGGAAAAACAAUAUUUCACAAGGUUGCACUUAUUACAAAUACUAUCCAAAAAUAAAUAUUUUUCAUCUUUUAAAAUAAAUUUCAAUUAUAUAAAACAUAAAAACAAUUAUAAAUGAAUUAGAAUAAUCUUUUUAAAAAUUAAAUAUAUAUAAGAAUAAUUAAAAAACAACUACUAUUAAAAAAAAUAUAUAUAUAUAUACUAAAAACAAAGAAAUUAGAGAAAGGGGAAUUAAUUUCAAUAUAAAUUAAGAAAUUAUAUAAAAAAACACAUUUAACAAAAACCAUGAUUUUUUAAAAGGAAUUUUUUUUUAAAAAGAGAAAAAGUACAUGUUAGCGUUUGGUUUAUUUAAAAAAACCUGCGCGAAUGUUUUUUUAUUUAAAAAACUCAAUUUAGAUGGACGACAAAUAUUUUCUGAAAAAAUAAUUAUAAACAAUGUGUUACCUGAUAUUUCUUAGAUUCUGGCCACUAUACUGGGCAGAAAAAAAGAAUCUAUAUUUGUUUUUACCAAAACAAUCCAUUUUCAAUUUAAUUUUGACCCUAAACACCUUGAAAAACCUAUAAAUAGAUUUAAAAAACCAAAAAAAUAACAUGAAAACUUGAAAAUCAACUAAAACAAAAACUCCUCUAGAGUUUAAAUCGAGUUUUUAAGGGUAUUUCAAGGUGAAAAAACAUUUAAGUUGAACUCCCUCAUCAAAUAAAAUAUUUUAACACUAAGAUGAACCAUUUUGUUGAUCAAAAUUGGUAUCAACUUUGAUUUUUUCUUUCUAUCACUAAAAACCAACAUUUUUUCUCUUUUCUCUCAAACUAGAAAUUAAAAUUAGAAAUUAAAAUGUAAAAAAAAUAAAUUUUGUACCAAAAUUUAAUUGAAAGACUAUUGAGGGAUUAAAUAAAUAUAAUUUAAAAAGUUUGAAAACUAAACUUAACAUUUUGUGAUUAUUUUGAAAGCAUCAUUUAUUUGUAGUGUUUUUUUUCACUUUGAUCCAUCAUCUUCCAAUUUUGUUUUUUAUCAACAAAUUUAAUUCAAUUAUUAUUUAAUUGUGCCAAAAAAAGAUAUAAUUGUACAAAAUAAAAGUUCGAGGACAAAAAUACACUAGGGUAUGGUACUACAUUAUUUUUGUUACUUUUUCACCAUGAUAAAACUUGUCCACGAUGGAAUUUAUUUAACAAGCCGAAAUAAAACCUAGCAACAACCCUUUGCUCUCACGUACAUAUCAAGUUCAGACUUGGCUAUUUUUAGGUUGUGGUGUGUCAGCGAACUUCCAUGUAAGUUGAUACUGCGGAGAUCUUACUCCAGCCACUUCAUUGAUGGGAACAGCAUCGGAGAUUUCCUUUAAAUCUUCUUUUGUCAGCUUAACUUGCAAUGAUCCAACAUUGUCGUACAGAUUU